ACUCGGAAGUGCUUCAGCGCCUCCUCUGUUUUCCCCGGUGCCAGGGAGUCCUUGAGAUACCGGAUGUCUUUGGAGCAGCUGAGCUCAGGCAGGCCUGCUGCCUGCAUCAGGGCAAAGAGGUGGAGGAAGAGAAGCCCGUGGCGCCGCAGGAUGGUGUUAGGCCCUUUCACAGUAGCCCCGGAACCUUUCAAAUUUCUCAUAUUAUUAGUCUUCCCCUGCUCAAUCACAUGGACAAAGUCAUAGUGUGAAACUACAACUGUGUUUAUAAGGAGGAUGCCACUGGAAAUGAAUUCUGCUCAAAGAAUGAACUCUCUACACACAUCAUCUUUCUCUCACAGACAUCAUACCACCUCAAGCACUGCAGCCUCAAAAGACAGGGUCUCAGGAACCAGGACUAAACCCAUGCAUGGACAGCAUUCUUCAGGCCAUCUGGAUAAUGUGCACAUAAUGGAUCAUGGAAAAUCCACAAGAGAGUCGCAGAGAAAUACAACUGGGGCCCCUGAGUUGAGCCAACUGCUGUAGUUAUCUUACCCCUCCACUUCCGAUUAUUUGGGACAAUCAGUUGCUUAUGUUUAAGCUGUUAAACUGAAUUCCCUGUUCGGAUUAAAUUUUCUGUUAGUUUUGGAAGCAUCAGAAAGAAACAGACAACAAUAAAUAUUCAAACAAAA
ensembl:lncRNA LINC01824 long intergenic non-protein coding RNA 1824